CGUGUAGGCGGAUGGGAACGUCGGACUUUGAAAGCCCCCCGGCUCAACCGGGGAAGCGGAGCCGAAACGACCGAUCUGGAGGGGCGUAGGGGGACCUGGAACUUCCGGUGGAGCGGUGAAAUGCGUUGAGAUCGGAAGGAACGCCCGUGGCGAAAGCGAGGUCCUGGACGUCUGCUGACGCUGAGACGCGAAAGCUAGGGGAGCAAACGGGAUUAGAUACCCCCGGUAGUCCUAGCCGUAAACGAUGGGCACUAGGUAGAGGGCUCGCCGAUGGGCUCUCUGCCGGAGCGAAAGCGUGAAGUGCCCCGCCGUGGGGAGUAUGGUCGCAAGGCUGAA
rnacentral:rRNA from 1 species